rnacentral:rRNA from 1 species
GAUGAACGCUGGCGGCGUGCCUAAUACAUGCAGGUCGAGCGAACGGACGAGAAGCUUGCUUCUCUGAUGUUAGCGGCGGACGGGUGAGUAACACGUGGAUAACCUACCUAUAAGACUGGGAUAACUUCGGGAAACCGGAGCUAAUACCGGAUGAUAUUUUGAACCGCAUGGUUCAAAAGUGAACGACGGUCUUGCUGUCACUUAUAGAUGGAUCCGCGCUGCAUUAGCUAGUUGGUAAGGUAACGGCUUACCAAGGCAACGAUGCAUAGCCGACCUGAGAGGGUGAUCGGCCACACUGCAACUGAGACACGGUCCAGACUCCUACGGGAGGCAGCAGUAGGGAAUCUUCCGCAAUGGGCGAAAGCCUGGCGGAGCAACGCCGCGUGAGUGAUGAAGGUCUUCGGAUCGUAAAACUCUGUUAUUAGGGAAGAACAUAUGUGUAAGUAACUGAGCACAUCUUGACGGUACCUACUCAGAAAGCCACGGCUAACUACGUG